GACGAACGCUGGCGGCGUGCUUAACACAUGCAAGUCGAACGGAAAGGCCCAGCUUUUGUGGGGUGCUCGAGUGGCGAACGGGUGAGUAACACGUGAGUAACCUGCUCUCGACUUUGGGAUAAUUUCAGGAAACUGGGGUUAAUAACGGCUAGGAGCUUCUCCUGCAUGGUGGGGGUUGGAAUGUUUCGGCGGUUGGGGAUGGACUCGCGGCUUAUCAGCUUGUUGGUGGGGUAGUGGCUUACCACGGCUGUGACUGGUAGCCGGCCUGAGAGGGUGACCUGCCACAUGGCGACUGAGGGACGGCCCAGACGCCUACAGGGGGCAGCGGUGGGGAAUAUUGCGCAAUGGGCGGGAGCCUAAUGCAGAAGCGCCGCGGGCGGGAUGUCGGCCUUCGGGGUGGAAAGCGCGUUCGGCUAUGACGAAGCGUGAGUGACGUUAAUGGGUGAAGAAGCACCGGCUAACUACGUG
rnacentral:rRNA from 1 species